rnacentral:rRNA from 1 species
GGCGAAUUGUAGUCUCGAGAGCGCCUUCAAGGUGGAUCCCGCCUGCCAAAGUUGCUUGGAACAGCACAUCAGAGAGGGUGACAAUCCCGUACGUGGCAGGUAGGACCACUCACGAUGCGCUUUCCAUGAGUCGGGUUGCUUGGGAAUGCAGCCCAAAAUUGGUGGUAGACUCCAUCUAAAGCUGAAUAUUGGCACGAGACCGAUAGCGAACAAGUACCGUGAGGGAAAGAUGAAAAGAACUUUGAAAAGAGAGUUAAAAAGUGCGUGAAACCGUUAGAGGGGAAGCGGAUGAAGUUAGCAAUGCUUCUGUGAGAUUCAGGUGGAUGGUGGACCCGACGUGUGGUUGGCGGAUCUGAAUGGACUGUCGCCACGUGGCUGGGCCCUGUAUCCACCGCACUUCUCGCAGGAGUGCGUCAACAGCUGCUUGAAGCAGGCUAGACGGCAUCUGUGGAAGGUAGGUGUUCGGCCUGUUCCGUACACUGUUAUAGCCACUAGUGUCCCAGCCUGCGUCCGGCAGAGGCGAGCGGUGCAUGCCCUGUGCAUCCGUGCCGGGGCUGGCGUCCUGUUCCGCACUCGUAGCCAACUGGGGUGCACUGCGUGCAGUUCACCUCGGGGGGCGAAAAGGCGUGCAGUAAACGCACACCCUGCACCAUGGUUGUUGGCGGCCAUAUGGCUUUUUCCGACCCGUCUUGAAACACGGACCAAGGAGUCUAACAUGUGCGCGAGUCUUGGGGUGACUGAAACCCAGAGGCACAAUGAAAGUGAAGGCUGCCAAUGCUUGUCCCUCACGGGUGCAGGCAUGGCGGCUGAGGUGAGAUCCCCGCUCCGAUGCUGGGCGGUGCGCAUCAUCGACCGACCUAUUCUACUCUUAGGAAGGUUUGAGUAAGAGCGUACAUGAUGGGACCCGAAAGAUGGUGAACUAUGCCUGAGUAGGGUGAAGCCAGAGGAAA